GGUGAGCUUGGUAGGAAGCAAUGUUGAGGCUCCUGAUGUGGGGGAAUUAAAGAGGCUGUAAAGCACAGCUCCUUGGGAGGACAGAGUCAUCCCGGAGGGCUUCAGGCCCUGGGGGAAAACCCCAACAGCAUUCUGACCCCAUCACAGGGAGGUUCCCCAGUUUCCUGCUGAUUUCCCGUGCCAGUGCCAACCCCCUCCCCCCGUAUCCCCCUCUACCAGGUACCUGCGGCAGUUUGGGGUCGUUGAUGUCCCAGGAAGAAGAAAGCCAAAAAUGGAGUAAAGAAAUGAAUGACAAUAUGGCAGCUAGAGCAGAAGACUAUCUCGAAUCGCUUCUCACUGAUGCUUUCAAGGGGAAGGGAUUUCAGAAAAUAAGUGAUCUGCUUCAGGGGAGAGGAAUGGAGCCUCUCCAGAAAUACAGCGAGUCUCUCUUUUUCCAGCUGGACAAAGCACUGCGAAAGGAGCUGGACAAGAACGAAUUCCACAAUGUUUCCCUGCUGCUGAAGUGUGUGCAGCUCUACUUGAAAAGCGAUCUUCAGCAGGGGAUGAGUUUGCUCAUCGAGCAAGGACUGGUAGACAAGGUGGUAUCUUGGUUUGAAAGAACGAGAGGGUUUGUGACCAUCAUUGAUCCAAAUGAAAAUCAUUUUUUGAUGGCACUUCUUGAAGACUUCUUUGACUCUGCAUUGGUGAUAUGCAAGUGCAGUAAUGAAGAGAUCAGCUCAUUGCUAGUAGUAACCUUGCAAGCUCAUUUCAUAGGGAAGAAACAACUGGUGAAUUUAUUUCUGCCUGAGCUAGGACAUCUUGUGACAGAAGGAAGCAUUUGCUGUGCUCUGCGGCUGGAGGCUUUGAGGACUCUCAACUCUAUACUAGACAGUGUCCCGCGUGAGGAGAGGAAGAAGUUCCCCUUGUCUGAAGAGAUUUGCUCCCUUACGAAUGACCUUGCAAAAACGAUACUGGAGGUUGGGGAUUAUGACCUUCAGGUUGCACUUUCAGAAGCACUUUGUAGGCUAAUGACAAAAAAAUGGAGAGAUGACCUUGUUCACCACUGGUUUGAAGAUAACUAUCUUGCUGAAGCUUUCAAAGAGAUCAAGGAUAGAGAAUUUGAGACGGACUGCAGGAAAUUUCUUAACCAGCUAAAUGAAAGACUUGGGGAUGACAGAAGAGUCUAUUCGUUUCCUUGCAUAUCUGCUUUUGCUGACAUGAACCAGGUGAAAAAGCCAUCAGAUGAGAAGCUGGAGGAGUUCUGGAUUGACUUCAACACUGGCAGCCAGAGCGUGACUUUUUACAUAGACAGUAGUGAGGGUGCUCUCUGGGACUCUGUGAGGCUGUUGAAAGAUGCUGUCAGCAGUUACAGUCUGAAGGAGGGUGGUGGAGAAAAGAUUGUUAAAAUUUACAUGAAGAUUCCUGCUACUCUUAACAAGACAGAAGCAACAAAAAUCAAAAUAUGUUUCAGUGCUGAGUAUGAAAUUUUAAAUAUACUUAAAAAAGUCCUUGGAGAAGAAAAAAUGAUGACAAAUGUGGCUGAAGAGGACACUAUCCAUAGUGGGAAUAAAGCUGGUCAGACUGAAGCAGUGACACCUCAAUCUAGUGAUCCACAGAAGAAGGAAGAUGUUUCAGUCUCUGAAAAUGUGGGCUCCCUGUCAGAAGACUUAUUUUCUCAACACAACCAGCCGUUAGCAGGCAGUGUAGCAGUCUCUAAACAGAAAAUAGUUAACUCUGGUAUCACCAUGGUUUCAGUAGGCCAGCAGACUGACAUGGACAAUGCUCACCAAGGCUCAGCUCCUGAGGGUGAAGCUGUAGUUUCCUUGCCUCCUUCAGCAAAAAAAUCCAAAACUCUAUCUCCAAGGACAAAAGCUAAGACUAGUGAGAAGGCCCUAGAAGAACCACCCAUGGAGGAGUCAACGCCAAAGAAGGACAAUACCAGGGAAAGGAGAAAUGGAAAAAAAGGCUUGGCCAAACAGAUGAUUGAAGACAGGAAGGACUCCUAUGGCUUUGAAAGCUCAGACUCUGCAAGCCAUGAAAAGGUUGCUGAAGCCAAAGGAAAACUUCUUGGCCAGAAAACUUCUUCACGGAAUUUGAGUGUCUUUAGUUACAGGAAGCAUCUUUUUUCUGGAAGCAACCAUGAAAAAACAAGUAACAGCCAGAGUGAGAAGAGCUGGAUCCUUGACUCUCAGAAACAGCCAUUGCCAAAAUCUCUUGACUAUACCCGAAAAAGGCGUAGGGUGAGGAGAAAAGUAAAAGUGCUUCCAGUGUCUUCCCCAAGUAGUGGCAGUGACUACCGGACACAGGAGCUAAAAGAAAGCCGAAGAGAUCAAAAGGAAAUGCCAAAGAAAACAAGCAUGUCCACCUCCAAAGGAGAUGACUUACCUACAGUGGAUCUUGCUGGUCACGUGCUCUCAGAGGAGCUUGAAGUGGCACCACUGUCCCUGGAUACAUCUGCUGAGGGCCUCUCUGAUGUGGAGGAGAAGGCAACACAGAAGUUUCAAAAUGCAUCUGACAAUAAUACAAAAGAAGAAGAAAACUUUAAGCGGAAGGACUCAGAUGUAUUAAGUGGCACUGUUGGAAAGAAGCCCAAGCUUUACAGUCAGGAAACAAAACACUUGUUCUCUGAUGCUCCUAGUACACCGAAGAAACUUUUUGAUUCAGAUGAGAAGAAAGAAGAGAUCCAAAUAGGUCAGGAAAUGGAAGAUGAGGAUGAUGUAUUUUAUUCUGAGAUAAAUCAUGAAGAUUCUGUUGCCUCAGGGAUGAUUACUGCAUUUGAAAGCUUCAUCAGCCAACGAAAGAAACUGUUCUGGUCCAGGUACAAAAGGAUGGAGAUGCGUGCCCAGAACACGCUGAGGACUUCUGAGGAGACCAUGUCUGUCCUGCUGAACCAGAUACACGAGCGCAGACUGAAUAAGCUGGACACCUUCCAGAAGACUGUUGUUGAGGAGCUUGCCAGCCUUGAGAAGGAAACCCAAAUCUUGUCAAACAUGGAGAAGGAUGCUAUGGACUUCUGGAACACCCAGUUACUCAAAAUGAAUUCUCUCUUCAACCAGCGGAAUCAAAGGUACGCAUCUGCUGUCAGUUGUGCCUGCUCACAAGUCCUGUGAUGGCUUCAAGUUAAAGAAGUAGCUACUUAAAAGGAAUAGCCUGAAGCUGAAUUCAGUCUGCUGACUCAGCCCUGGGUGAGGAAACCUGGAGCUUUGCCAGUACGAUCCAGGAUCCAGAACACCACAGUAGUAUGAAUGCCCAAUGAAGAAUGCGGCAGAAAACAAUGUUCCUUCUGACUAGCAACCUCUGGAUUCACAAGAGCUCUUCAUGUUUGAGCAUCUUAUGCCACACAGAAAAGAUGGUCAUGUGAAGGAUAUGUUAAUCUACUUUAAGUGGAAAGAAAAAUUGGGGGGGGGGGAAGAAUGGCAAACAACAUUGUUUUCACACACACACAAAAUCUCAGUAUUAAUGUAGACUGCUUGAAGGUUCCGGUUUUGACUCCUGUGUCAGUAACAUCAAGAUUUUCUGAAAAAUGCAAGACAGGUCCACUAUAUACCAAAGAAAUAGAACUAAAUAAUAUGGUUUAUCCAACAACCUGAUAUGUAUUGGCUAUCUCUGAGUAUUCUGUUAAUACCCUUAUCAAAUGUAAAAGUACUUUGAUUCUAAGUAAAACAUUCUUUGCAUAACAGAA